UUCUAUUCUGCAUAGUCUGUGUUUCAAAAUCAUCAUAGAAAUCUUGUAAUACUUGAAAAUCAUGUUAACCAUGCAUAUUUUUUUGUUUUAUAAUUUUGAAAGACUCUCCCCAUACUUUCCAAGUAAUUUCUGUGUAAAAAAAUCACAAUUUAAAUGUUCCUUUCGUAAAUCAUCUAAAGGUCAUAGUAUUGAUCUAAUUAAUUGAAUUUGAAAUGCAAUUUAAUGUUAAUUAUGGAAAUAAUUUUCCUUUCUAAAAUCUUUGCUUAUUUUUAAUUCCAAUAAUGAAAUUUUUUCUAGAAAUUUUUUGUGACAGUUUUAUUUCUGUAGAUUGUGAAGAGAAUGCUCCAUUGUUUCCUGCUAAUGUUUUAUCCAUUGAUCCUUAAUAUUGCUAUAAUCCUUGUGGUGUUCAUCUCUGUGUCCGCUAUUGCAAUUUUCAUUUUAUAACUUUCUAGAAUCAACUUUAUGAUCCUGGCUUUUUCUUUUUGGGAACCUUAUCAUACAAAACGUUCUUAUGAUAUUCAUUUCAUUUAUCUAGCUUAGGAAAGCUGUUCCCUUAUUGGCUUAUAAAGCUCAAGGAGAGUAAAAAUUUGAGAUUUAUGUCAAGUAAGCGAUUCUUCUCGAUCUGCAUACCAAGAUCAAAGACCAGACUCCCAAAUUGGAUUGGAGAAACAAAUGGUUAGAGAUCCAAUUGAUAAUAAAGAAGUUGGCUAUGACGAGAUCAAUCAUCCCUCAACAUUUGAGGGACUUGAAGAGAAAUUCCUUGAAUACAUUAUGAAACUGACCAAAGAACAAGAAGAAGCUGAUUUCAAGGAAAAUACUCAGCAUAGAGGUUGGUUUUUUCCUUUACUAAAGCGCAGUGCAAAGCUUAUGAUUUGCUCGAAGAAGGCGGGAAAUGGAAAUUAUCUCUAUCUAGAUAAGGACUUGGAAAAUAUCAUCCAUGCUUGGUCAAAUCAGCUUCCCUUCCCAUCUUCUAUUUAAUGCUUUUGUAAUGGAAGGAUCGGCAUUUGGAAGGAGGGAAGAGUGCAUAUGGAUACGGACAACUUUAUGUAGAAAAUAUCCAGUUUUUAGUUCAUGAAAAUUCUGUGAUUGUAGGUUUGCACAUCAGAUUAAACAUGUAGACUGGCAAAAGUCAGUGAACUUUUUGUUUAUCAGAACUUCAGCAGGGUCCCAACUGAGAAUGUGGAGGCUGGAGAUAUUUGUUCCAUUUGUUGAAUAAAUGAUAUAAUGAUUGGAGAAACAAUAGCUGAUAAAAGCUCUGGGAACGCACUGCCCACCAUCAAAGUGGAGGAACUGACAGUAAAAAUGUCUUUCUCCAUCAAUAUUUCUUCCUUUGUUGGUCAGGAGGUUGUACAAGCUACAAUGAACAAGGAUGUUGGUUAUGAUUUUGCUGUUGAUAUUUGGAGCAUGGGUUUUACUAUCAUUGUAUUGUUUACUGGAAAACAUCCUUGGAGUGGACUUGAGGUGGUAAUCCUUCUCGACUAUGAACACAAAAUUUUAAUUUCUAGUGAAAUCGCUUGGUUCAUGCAACUUCAA